GGAGAAGGCUAUGUUGGCCGGGCGACGGUUGUCCCGGUUUAAGCGUGUAGGCUGGUUUUCCAGGCAAAUCCGGAAAACUAAGGCUGAGGCGUGAUGACGAGGCACUACGGUGCUGAAGCAACAAAUGCCCUGCUUCCAGGAAAAGCCUCUAAGCAUCAGGUAACAUCAAAUCGUACCCCAAACCGACACAGGUGGUCAGGUAGAGAAUACCAAGGCGCUUGAGAGAACUCGGGUGAAGGAACUAGGCAAAAUGGUGCCGUAACUUCGGGAGAAGGCACGCUGAUAUGUAGGUGAAGUCCCUCGCGGAUGGAGCUGAAAUCAGUCGAAGAUACCAGCUGGCUGCAACUGUUUAUUAAAAACACAGCACUGUGCAAACACGAAAGUGGACGUAUACGGUGUGACGCCUGCCCGGUGCCGGAAGGUUAAUUGAUGGGGUUAGCGCAAGCGAAGCUCUUGAUCGAAGCCCCGGUAAACGGCGGCCGUAACUAUAACGGUCCUAAGGUAGCGAAAUUCCUUGUCGGGUAAGUUCCGACCUGCACGAAUGGCGUAAUGAUGGCCAGGCUGUCUCCACCCGAGACUCAGUGAAAUUGAACUCGCUGUGAAGAUGCAGUGUACCCGCGGCAAGACGGAAAGACCCCGUGAACCUUUACUAUAGCUUGACACUGAACAUUGAGCCUUGAUGUGUAGGAUAGGUGGGAGGCUUUGAAGUGUGGACGCCAGUCUGCAUGGAGCCGACCUUGAAAUACCACCCUUUAAUGUUUGAUGUUCUAACGUUGACCCGUAAUCCGGGUUGCGGACAGUGUCUGGUGGGUAGUUUGACUGGGGCGGUCUCCUCCUAAAGAGUAACGGAGGAGCACGAAGGUUGGCUAAUCCUGGUCGGACAUCAGGAGGUUAGUGCAAUGGCAUAAGCCAGCUUGACUGCGAGCGUGACGGCGCGAGCAGGUGCGAAAGCAGGUCAUAGUGAUCCGGUGGUUCUGAAUGGAAGGGCCAUCGCUCAACGGAUAAAAGGUACUCCGGGGAUAACAGGCUGAUACCGCCCAAGAGUUCAUAUCGACGGCGGUGUUUGGCACCUCGAUGUCGGCUCAUCACAUCCUGGGGCUGAAGUAGGUCCCAAGGGUAUGGCUGUUCGCCAUUUAAAGUGGUACGCGAGCUGGGUUUAGAACGUCGUGAGACAGUUCGGUCCCUAUCUGCCGUGGGCGCUGGAGAACUGAGGGGGGCUGCUCCUAGUACGAGAGGACCGGAGUGGACGCAUCACUGGUGUUCGGGUUGUCAUGCCAAUGGCACUGCCCGGU
rnacentral:rRNA from 1 species